CAGGUACUGUAUACAUUUAUUGAAAAAAAUUGUGUAUAAAUGGACCUGCACAGUUCAAACCUGUGUUGUUCAAGGGUCAGCUGUAUCUUUG
rnacentral:miRNA from 1 species